GACGAACGCUGGCGGCGUGCUUAACACAUGCAAGUCGAACGAUGAAGCCAGCUUGCUGGUGGAUUAGUGGCGAACGGGUGAGUAACACGUGGGUGAUCUGCCCCAAACUUUGGGAUAAGCCUGGGAAACUGGGUCUAAUACCGAAUAUGACCGAUACUCGCAUGGGUGUUGGUGGAAAGCUCCGGCGGUUUGGGAUGGGCCCGCGGCCUAUCAGCUUGUUGGUGGGGUAAUGGCCUACCAAGGCGACGACGGGUAGCCGGCCUGAGAGGGCGACCGGCCACCCUGGGACUGCGACACGGCCCAGACUCCUAUGGGAGGCAGCAGUGGGGAAUAUUGCACAAUGGGCGCAAGCCUGAUGCAGCGACGCCGCGUGAGGGAUGACGGCCUUCGGGUUGUAAACCUCUUUCACCAGGGACGAAGCGAAAGUGACGGUACCUGGAGAAGAAGCACCGGCCAACUACGUG
rnacentral:rRNA from 1 species